CGCGAAGUUUUCCCCCUCAAAAUCACAAGGAUGCCGCCGCCCCACGCUCCAUUCGUUCCCCAUCCACGAAAUCCCUAGAUCUCUCCUGCUGUUCCCCACGCACGCCGGCGCCCCACACCCGACCGCCUCCUGCGGCUACCGCCGUCCGGCGGUCUAUCCCACCGCUGCCCCACGCGCCCUUCCUCUAUAGCAUCGCCCCACGCCGCCCUGUCCCUGCAGCGCAACCUAACUCCGUCCUGCCUCUCUCCGCCGCCGGCUCCACACCCUCGUGCUCUCUCUCUGGUUGGUCGCCUCUCUCCAACAUCCCUGGCCUGACCUCCCCAUCUCCACCAUCUAGCUCACAAAGACCCACGCUGCGGCAGAUUUGGAUCGUGGCAGCGUGCGCUUGGUCAAGGGCAUCCCUCUCUAUCUUUGGCUUGGCAGGGGCACUAAAGCGGCUGAGGAGGGACAAUGGCAAGCGCAAGCGGAAAAGCUAAAGAUGAUGGGGCCACGGAGGAACAACUGAAAGUGGUAGAGUAUAAACUACAGAGAAGUAGGACCAUAGAAGAAAAUGAAGUAAGUCAUCCUGCUGAAUCAAAACUGUAGUAUAUCCAUCCACAUACUAAAACUGUAGUAUAUCCCUGCAGCAGACUUUGUUCUGGACAUAAACAAACACAUAUGCAUGUAAUCAUUCUCAAAACACAAACAAUAUGCUCCCUCCGUCCCAACAUAAAUGUCUCAACCAUAGUACAACUUUGUACUAGAGAUAGUACAAAGUUGAGACACUUAUUUUGGGACGGAGGGAGUAUAUUAUAACAAAACUGUAGGCAGUGUUGUUGUAAACAUGUCUACUCAUCAUAAAUCUCCUUACCUUUUUUCUUAUAGUCUCGCAGUGCUAUCACCAAAAAGAACCGCGCCAAUGAAGUGCCUCAUACAUCCGGGAGCAAGAGUCACAA
rnacentral:rRNA from 1 species